UGUGCCCAUCUGAGGAGCAGCACAAAGGGCUAACCAAGAGCGGGGAGCCUGGGAGCGGGAGUCGAGAGGGGCUCUUUCAGAACGGGAGCAAAUGGUAUUAGGACUUCAAUGGCAACAACCCAUGUGCCAAAUCGGUUUGUCCUUCACAUGAAAUCGCCGGUGUUCCAGAAUUACACGACAAAGAACCUGCACUUUCCAGGAGGCCGCUGCAGAAGAACCCACAAUCCCAAAUGUGCCUUCAAGAGCACGGGAGGAUUAAAUAAUGCAUGAAAGAUUUCCUCACUGGUCUGUCAGCCUUCAAUUUUGGAACAUACAGAGCAUGACUCAGAGUCUCAGGAGCGGCAGGAGCAGUGAGCAGUGUCGCCGACUUUCUGGAUAUAAUUUUUUAACAGAAAAAUCCAUUUCGGGCAUAAUAACUUUUACUUUCAUUUUACCGUAUUUUACAGACUAGAGCUGCACGGGUCAAAACUGAAGCAACUGGUCACGUACGGCUAUUGAAUAGUGAAAACGUGGCUAGUUUGAAUCCAGAUGUGCAGUUUGUAUAAAAUAAUGCAUCAAAAUCUUGAAGACUUCAUAUAAAAGAAAGAAGGAAAAUUGUUCAUUAAUAUUUUCACUUAAUGUAUAUUGAGGAACUUUGUAAGUCUGCGCCUCCUCAAGAUGAAAGGCAGAAAGUGUGCUCUCCAGCUUUCCGUACACGUGUGGAGUAGACAGUUGACCCUGGUUCUGCCUGUCAGAUCUGCCCUUGUAAAGCUUGACUUGAAGGCUAUGAGGUAAAUAAAUCAAGUAACUAUUGGCUUAGCUUUGGGGAGAGAGCCACCACCUACCCUCCAGCACAGCAGCAAGGAAAAGUCUAGUGCCUCCUAGUGUCAGAAAUGGGAAGUGUGCAGUCUGUGUGCAGGAAGUUUGAGUGCUGUCUGAUGUAGAUUGGAACUGUGGAGCAGCCUUCAAGUUACAAAAUAAAGUGUCUGUGUAAUACUCAAUACCCUUUAUAAAUUACUUGUCUGCAAAAUCAGGUGAGUAUAGUUCUGUGUUUUGUUUUGUUUUUUUGUUUUGGUUUUGGCUUUGGCUUUUGGUUUUUGGUUUGUUUGUUUGUUUUUGCUCCAGGGAACCCUGGCAUCAUGGAGAAAAGGAGAAGAAAGGCGAGGGGAAAGGGGAUAGCUAUAGUUAGACAAUUCCAACAAGGAAUUCUAAGGCCCAGAGUUAGGACAAAGACAGACAGGAAGGAAGUGAAGCCCCAGAAUGUUCUCAGGAACAUUUGCUGACGGAUGUGGCUGAGGAAGAAGGGAAUUCAUCACUAAGAACUGGACGGUGCCCUCGGGUUCCUGGUAGGGA